rfam:Spizellomyces punctatus DAOM BR117 chromosome Tnknown supercont1.22, whole genome shotgun sequence.
GCUUCCUUAGCUCAGUUGGGAGAGCGUUAGACUGAAGAUCUAAAGGUCUCGUGUUCAAUCCACGAAGGGAGCA